rnacentral:misc_RNA from 1 species
GAAAUGCGAUAAGUAAUGUGAAUUGCAGAAUUCAGUGAAUCAUCGAAUCUUUGAACGCACCUUGCGCCCUUUGGCAUUCCGAAGGGCAUGCCUGUUUGAGUAUCAUGAACACCUCAACUCUUCAUGGUUUUCCAUGAUGAGCUUGGACUUUGGGGGUCUUGCUGGCCUGCGGUCGGCUCCUCUCAAAUGAAUCAGCUUACCAGUGUUUGGUGGGCAUCACAGGUGUGAUAACUAUCUGCGCUUGUGGUUUUCCACCAAGUAACCUUCAGCAGUGGAGGUUCACUGGAGCUCACAGACGUCUCUCCUCAGUGAGGACAGCCCUUUGAAUGUUUGAUCUCAAAUCAGGUAGGACUACCCGCUGAACUUAA